ensembl:snRNA U7 U7 small nuclear RNA
GAAUGUUACAGCUCUUUGAGAAUUUGUCUAGUAGGUCUUCUGGAUCUUGCUGGAAGGACCUCA